AUCGGUUCUCGGCCUUUUGGCUAAGAUCAAAUGUGUAGUAUCUGUUCUUAUCAGCCUAAUAUCUGAUGCGAGUCCUAUUUAUGUAAUGAGCUUUCUGAUCCGUCAGAAUUCACU
rnacentral:snRNA from 1 species